UGUGCUUUUGAAACUCGCUCUCUCUCUCCGGUAUCUCACCGCUGCUUUGGUGCAGGGUUUAUGCUCAGCACUGAACCCAAUGUGGGGCUUGAACUCACGACCCGGAGAUCAAGACCUGGGCUGAGAUCCCAGACUUGGAUGCUUAAUGGACUGAGCCACCCAGGGGCCCCCAGUGUUUUGUGUUAUUAACCUGUCUUUCAACUGACACCAUGAAAAGGGCGUUUUAAGCCAGAUUUAAAGAGGACUUAAUCAAGUGGCUGACACAUAAUUUUUGAUGAUAGAUCGCGAUGCCGUUUUUGGCAUCCAUCUGGGGACUUCAGAGAAGUGCGUGACCUCUACUUAUUUAUGUGCAAAGGCUUCUCUGCGUGUGGGGGUAUAAAAAUAAAGAAAAGAAAAAAGAAAAGAAACGAUGCCGAGUCCUGAUUCGUUCUGGCAAUAAACAUUCACCCACGGAUUCAUGAAUGAUGAAAUGCCUAUCCAUUCCAUUAAGAUGUGUUUCCAAUACAUUUCCCUUUUGAGGUUUAACAUCGACUUACAAAAACGUUUAGUGUCUGUGUUGUGUGAUUCAAUUGUAUACUAUAUCUUAUAUGAAAAAUAGUGGUAACAACUCAAUCUGGAAGACGUUUUCAAAAAACUUACAGAUUUCGGUCGCAGAAAAUUAAAUAUCUCUAUUUCAAUUUAUAAACAUAUUUUGUGGCAGAGAAGUAUGAUAAGGUGAGCAAAGAAAGACUUUCAACCGUAAAAAUACUGCAUUACUAGAAAAUUCCAUAGGGGAAAUGGAAUGAAGAUACAAGUUCAAAGUGAAAAGGAACAAUGUAAAAUUUUUUGCUGUUGAGGGAGAGUUAGCUGGUUAGCAUGUUUUUUUAAACAGGUGAGGGUGGUUAUUAAAUCACUGUUGUGUUGGGAUUCUGAACGACGUAUUUUAAAGUGUUGUGGCAGGUUUGUGUUAAAAUGUGAAUAUUUGCCAAAUGCCAGAUAUCACUCUCUUGCACAUUUGAAAAUGUA